rnacentral:rRNA from 1 species
UCUACGGGAGGCUGCAGUGGGGAAUAUUGGACAAUGGGCGAAAGCCUGAUCCAGCCAUGCCGCGUGUGUGAAGAAGGCCUUCGGGUUGUAAAGCACUUUCAGUGGGGAAGAAAGCCUUGGGGCUAAUACCCUCGAGGAAGGACAUCACCCACAGAAGAAGCACCGGCUAACUCCGUGCCAGCAGCCGUGGUAAUACGGAGGGUGCGAGCGUUAAUCGGAAUUACUGGGCGUAAAGCGCGCGUAGGCGGUCUGAUAAGCCGGUUGUGAAAGCCCCGGGCUCAACCUGGGAACGGCAUCCGGAACUGUCAGGCUAGAGUGCAGGAGAGGAAGGUAGAAUUCCCGGUGUAGCGGUGAAAUGCGUAGAGAUCGGGAGGAAUACCAGUGGCGAAGGCGGCCUUCUGGACUGACACUGACGCUGAGGUGCGAAAGCGUGGGUAGCAAACAGGAUUAGAUACCCGGGUAGUC